UCCUUGGAAAUCCCAAGAUUUCCAAGACUAGGAUAAGACUUUUCAGAGGGAGUUAUGCACAGUGUGGAGGAUUUAUCUCACCUAAUGCCUGCCUGAGAACACUGGAUCUAAUCAGCUUGUGGGAGCUUGGAAGCUAAACAUAUGUCUUACAUAAUUGUGUGGUUAUGGGGACAUCUCUGCGUCACAGUUUUCUGGGAGUGUCCACUUAGAUUUUGCAAAGCAAAACAGUCGCUGUCUUGAAGGGAAUGUUUUUCAACUGGUUGGUGCCUGCUUCAUCUCUCUCUUGUAUAUGAAAUCUUCUAGGAUCGGCUUUUAUUGCUGAGAUCCUCACAUACUUUGUAAAAGGAAAUUCAGAAGACAGAUGAAUUCCCCAAAGAGCUGUAACAAGUCGAACAUACAGCCAGGAUUUCCGGUGCACUGGACCACAGUGCAUAG